rnacentral:rRNA from 1 species
ACGGGAGGCAGCAGUGAGGAAUAUUGGACAAUGGAUGGAAGUCUGAUCCAGCCAUGCCGCGUGAAGGAUAGAUGCCCUACGGGUUUUGAACUUCUUUUGUACGGGGGCAAUAAGGGCCACGCGUGGCCCGAUGAGAGUACCGUACGAAUAAGCAUCGGCUAACUCCGUGCCAGCAGCCGCGGUAAUACGGAGGAUGCGAGCGUUAUCCGGAUUUAUUGGGUUUAAAGGGUGCGCAGGCGGCACGUUAAGUCAGCGGUGAAAUGCAGGGGCUCAACCCCGGCACUGCCGUUGAAACUGGCGAGCUCGAGUACGGAUGAAGUCGGCGGAAUGUGAUGUGUAGCGGUGAAAUGCUUAGAUAUGUCACAGAACACCGAUUGCGAAGGCAGCUGACUAAUCCGCAACUGACGCUCAGGCACGAAAGCGUGGGGAUCGAACAGGAUUAGAUACCCUGGUA